UGCAGAGGUCUCAAGCGUUGUUCGGAUUCAUUGGGCGUAAAGGGUGCGUAGGUGGCAUGGUAAGUCGGAUGUGAAAUCCCGGGGCUCAACCCCGGAACUGCAUUCGAUACUGCUGAGCUAGAGUACUGGAGAGGAGAUUGGAAUUUACGGUGUAGCAGUGAAAUGCGUAGAUAUCGUAAGGAAGACCAGUGGCGAAGGCGGAUCUCUGGACAGUUACUGACACUGAGGCACGAAGGCCAGGGGAGCAAACGGG
rnacentral:rRNA from 1 species